CUGGAAAAAAGAUUAAUAUGCCAUCAUAUGGCACGUGGAAAGAAGAUUGAUGUGAGAAUUCAAGAGUCCUUACCAUUAGGGACUCUUCCAUAAACUCAACAUAAAAAAGGGAGGGACUAAUUAAUUUUUGGCAUUCAAACUCCUUGCCAAAGAAGGACUCUUCCUUCUCUUCUGUGUCGAUAAUUUCAAGUGCCAUCUCAUGUCAUGAGGAAUUAAAAAACACAUGGAGAAUAUGGAAG
rnacentral:lncRNA from 1 species